rnacentral:tRNA from 1 species
GGUGGGUUGGCUCAGUGGUUAGAGCUUAGGUCUCGUAAUCGAAAGAUCGCGGGAUCGAAUUCCGCUAGAAGCU